rnacentral:rRNA from 1 species
GGGAAAUUGCCCUGAUGUGGGGGAUAACCAUUGGAAACGAUGGCUAAUACCGCAUAAUACCUUCGGGUCAAAGAGGGGGACCUUCGGGCCUCUCGCGUCAGGAUAUGCCCAGGUGGGAUUAGCUAGUUGGUGAGGUAAUGGCUCACCAAGGCGACGAUCCCUAGCUGGUCUGAGAGGAUGAUCAGCCACACUGGAACUGAGACACGGUCCAGACUCCUACGGGAGGCAGCAGUGGGGAAUAUUGCACAAUGGGCGCAAGCCUGAUGCAGCCAUGCCGCGUGUGUGAAGAAGGCCUUCGGGUUGUAAAGCACUUUCAGCAGUGAGGAAGGCGGGUACGUUAAUAGCGUAUUCGUUUGACGUUAGCUGCAGAAGAAGCACCGGCUAACUCCGUGCCAGCAGCCGCGGUAAUACGGAGGGUGCGAGCGUUAAUCGGAAUUACUGGGCGUAAAGCGCAUGCAGGUGGUUCGUUAAGUCAGAUGUGAAAGCCCGGGGCUCAACCUCGGAACUGCAUUUGAAACUGGCGGACUAGAGUACUGUAGAGGGGGGUAGAAUUUCAGGUGUAGCGGUGAAAUGCGUAGAGAUCUGAAGGAAUACCGGUGGCGAAGGCGGCCCCCUGGACAGAUACUGACACUC